GGGGCUGUAGCUCAGGGAUAGAGUGCUCACCUCACUCGUGAGAGACCCUGGGUUCGAUCCUCAGCACCA
rnacentral:tRNA from 1 species